rnacentral:rRNA from 1 species
UACGAAGGGGGCUAGCGUUGCUCGGAAUGACUGGGCGUAAAGGGCGCGUAGGCGGAUCUGACAGUCAGGCGUGAAAUUCCUGGGCUCAACCUGGGGGCUGCGCUUGAUACGUUGGGUCUAGAGUGGGGAAGAGGGUCGUGGAAUUCCCAGUGUAGAGGUGAAAUUCGUAGAUAUUGGGAAGAACACCGGUGGCGAAGGCGGCGACCUGGUCCUUGACUGACGCUGAGGCGCGAAAGCGUGGGGAGCAAACAGG